AGAGUUUGAUCCUGGCUCAAUUGAACGCUGGCGGCAUGCCUUACACAUGCAAGUCGAACGGCAGCACGGGAGUAAUCCUGGUGGCGAGUGGCGAACGGGUGAGUAACAUAUCGGAACGUGCCCAGUCGUGGGGGAUAACGCAGCGAAAGCUGUGCUAAUACCGCAUACGAUCUCUGGAUGAAAGCGGGGGACUCUGCAAAGAGCCUUGCGCGAUUGGAGCGGCCGAUAUCAGAUUAGCUAGUUGGUGGGGUAAAAGCCCACCAAGGCGACGAUCUGUAGCUGGUCUGAGAGGACGACCAGCCACACUGGAACUGAGACACGGUCCAGACUCCUACGGGAGGCAGCAGUGGGGAAUUUUGGACAAUGGGCGAAAGCCUGAUCCAGCAAUGCCGCGUGCAGGAUGAAGGCCUUCGGGUCGUAAACUGCUUUUGUACGGAACGAAACGGUUCACUCUAAUACGGUGGGCUAAU
rnacentral:rRNA from 1 species